UACGUAGGGGGCAAGCGUUGUCCGGAAUCAUUGGGCGUAAAGAGCGUGUAGGCGGCUCGGUAAGUCCGCUGUGAAAGUCCAGGGCUCAACCCUGGAAUGCCGGUGGAAACUGUCGAGCUAGAGUCCGGAAGAGGCGAGUGGAAUUCCUGGUGUAGCGGUGAAAUGCGCAGAUAUCAGGAGGAACACCUAUGGCGAAGGCAGCUCGCUGGGACGGUACUGACGCUGAGACGCGAAAGCGUGGGGAGCGAACAGG
rnacentral:rRNA from 1 species